rnacentral:lncRNA from 1 species
CAUGGAAAAUCGAGUUAUAUGCCUUGGCAAUACUCUACUGGGACACUCUAAAGUCCCCCAUUCUUGACAAUUGUUUCGUCAUUGUCCCCUUUUCUCCCGCAUCUCUUCAACAGCACUCGCCGCUAUCUCAAUUAUCAAUUUGAUUUAAUGAUUUCUGUUUAUGUGCAUAUUAUGUGUUUGUGAAAAUUCGUUGAUUUACUGAUUACCAGCGAUGUCUAUUUUAAAAUGGCCGUUGUGUAUGAGCCGACGCUAUAUGUAUAUUUCCGUUUCUGCCUCAUAAAAUUUUCCAUUGGCUCUUUAAAAAGCUACUUGAAUCAGAUAUGGAGAUGAUACAUUGCCUGUAGGAGUUACGUAGCUGCGGCAUCCAGUACAGGGCUGCUUAGUUACCAAUCUUGCCAUCCUCUGGAGUUGAUACAUUGCCUGUAGGAAUUACGUAGCUGCUAGAUAGAUCUAAAGGUGACUUCCCUGCUAAUUAGUCAAGUACAAGAGUAUUAAACCUCCAUGAAUGAGAGUAAUAGCAUACAUUUGACACCUUAGUUUUAUUAAUAUAUACAUGAAACACAAUUUACUUUUGAAAAAUAAUGUCAGAAGUCUUAUUCCAUUAUUGUCAAAUAGAAUUGGUACUGCAUUCCAUUAUCGUCUGAGAUGGGUUCUUAAUAUGUCUCUAGGAGAUUCUUGGUUCUUUCCUAAUGAAACAUGUAAUAUUUACUCUCUCUCCUCUUCACUGAUCUGUUAAGUUGAGUUCCAAAUUACUUGUUAAGUUGAUUUAGUUAUUUGCCUUAUUAAUUGGCGUGUGGUAGACGUGUGUCUUUUUGUACUUCUUGUGAACUGUUUUUUGGAAUUUUGCAUUCUUGGGAGUAUCUUUUUAUGUGUUGAUGAUGCCUUAUCUCCGGAAUAUCUUUGUCCGUAUAUUAUGGGAUAAACCAAUAUUUUGCCAUCCAAUUUUGGGGUUUAAUGCAGAAUUUUAUACUUUCUUUUUACCCUUGGUUUUGUGGACCAAGUGAAUUUUUAGAUAGGAUUCUCUUGAAGGGAUAAUGACUUUAUUUAUACUCUUUUGUAGGUGGAGUAGAAAUGAAAGACAGAGGCGGUGAUGAAGAUCUAGACCUUACUUAAGAGAAUUUUGAAUUAUUGAUUGUUGUAGAUGCAUGUGGCGGUUUUUAGGAAUGUUUGUUAUCAAGACAUUUUAAAACAUUUUUUAUUUAUAUAAUUUUUAGUGUUUUAUAGUUUAUUGUAUACAUAUGUAAAUCUUUAUUUAGAAAAGGGGCAAUAUUUUCAAUUCAAUUAAACUGUUACAAUAGCUAACAGAACCGUUGCCAUAGGACUUGCAAACUGUUCCAAAAUAAUCUAAAACCGUU